GACGAACGCUGGCGGCGUGCUUAACACAUGCAAGUCGAACGGAAAGGCCCUGCUUUUGUGGGGUGCUCGAGUGGCGAACGGGUGAGUAACACGUGAGUAACCUGCCCUUGACUUUGGGAUAACUUCAGGAAACUGGGGCUAAUACCGGAUAGGAGCUCCUGCUGCAUGGUGGGGGUUGGAAAGUUUCGGCGGUUGGGGAUGGACUCGCGGCUUAUCAGCUUGUUGGUGGGGUAGUGGCUUACCAAGGGUUUGACGGGUAGCCGGCCUGAGAGGGUGACCGGCCACAUUGGGACUGAGAGACGGACCAGACUCCUACGGGAGGCAGCAGUCGGGAAUAUUGCACAAUGGGCGGAAGCCUGAUGCAGCAACGCCGCGUGCGGGAUGACGGCCUUCGGGUUGUAAACCGCUUUCGCCUGUGACGAAGCGUGAGUGACGGUAAUGGGUAAAGAAGCACCGGCUAACUACGUG
rnacentral:rRNA from 1 species